GAGGUUCGUGCUACACCUCUUAGCCACCGAACCACCAAGUGUUGGUCGACACAACGGGGACGUAGCGUGCCGGCAAGCACGUGAACCUCGGGAGAAAAAUUGUGUGUCUCCAUUGUGAUUGUUCAUUGGAUUUCUCCCGGUGAUUGGACUUCAUAUUAUUGAUUGGUUCAUCCCCUCUACGUGGCGGUAUAAAGUUCAAACCAUCUCUUUAUAUUCCCACAAACUAGAGUAGCUUACUUACUUGUAUAGAAACUUUAGGUAGCUUUCUAGUGUAAGUAGUGACUUAGCUCUUGUGUGCCUAGUGAUUAUAUCAACUAGAAGUUGGAUAGGUGGCUUGCAAACACCCCAUUAGAGCUAGAGCAAAAAGUUUCGCUUUGUUAUUUACUAACCUCUUGCUCUAGUGAGUUUGUAGAAUUUUUAAAUAGGCUAUUCACCCCCCCUCUAGCCAUAUUAGGACCUUUCAAGUGGUAUCGGAGCCGUGGUCACCGUUUUGUGAAGGCUUAACAACCUCGGUGCUCAAAUUAUGGCUCAAAUAGUGUUCAACCAUGUUGGGGGCAAACCACCGUUCUUUGAUGGCACAAGUUCUUUUGACUAUUGGAAGAGAAAGAUGAAAAUGUAUCUUGGAUCAAUAAAUGAUAGAGUGUGGGAAGUCACCGAAAAUGACUUUGUGAUUCUUGAUCCGGCUAACCCCACCGACAAUGAGAGAGCAAACAAGCAAUGCAAUACUAUGGCUCUCAACACAAUAUACAAUGGCAUUGACUCAAAGGUAUUUGAACAAGUCAAAGAUCUUGAGAAGGCUAGUGAAGUGUGGACAAGGCUUGAAGAAACAUAUGAGGGCACUACAACGGUAAAAAGUGCCAAGUUGUAUAUGCUCAAGGACAAGCUUUCAAACUUCAAGAUGAAGGAUGAUGAGUCCAUACCAGAGAUGUUCUAUAGGCUCCAAGUCAUCAUAAAUGAUCUCAAGGGCCUUGGUGAGAAAGUGAAGGAUGAGGACUUGGUAAAAUUGCUAUAUCCAAUGACUUGAGCAUUUCCAAUGUGCUACUAGUAGAGAGCUUGAACUUCAACUUGCUAUCCAUAGCUCAACUUUGUGAUCUUGGUUUCAAAUGCAUAUUUGGAGUUGAUGAUGUAGAGAUCAUAAGUGUAGAUGGCUCUAACUUGAUAUUCAAAGGCUUUAGAUAUGAGAAUCUAUACUUGGUUGAUUUCAAUGCUAGUGAAGCUCAAUUAUCAACAUGCUUGCUCACUAAAUCUAGCAUGGGUUGGUUAUGGCAUAGAAGGCUUGGUCAUGUUGGAAUGAAACAAUUAAACAAGUUAGUCAAGCAUGAUCUUGUUAGAGGCUUAAAAGAUGUCACAUUUGAGAAAGACAAGCUUUGUAGUGCAUGUCAAGCCAGAAAACAAGUUGGCAACACUCAUCCAAAGAAGAGCAUCAUGAGUACAUGCAAGGCAUUUGAGUUGUUGCACAUGGAUCUAUUUGGACCAACCACAUACACAAGCAUUGGUGGAAAUAAAUAUGGAUUUGUGAUAGUGGAUGAUUUCACAAGAUAUACAUGGGUAUUCUUUCUUAGUGACAAGAGUGAUGCUUUUGCAACCUUCAAAUCAUUUGUCAAGAGAAUACACAAUGAGUUUGAAACAACCAUCAAGAAAGUGAGAAGUGACAAUGGAAGUGAAUUCAAGAAUACAAGAGUUGAUGAGCUUUGUGAUGAAUUUGGCAUUAGGCAUCAAUUCUCGGCCAAGUACACUCCACAAUCAAAUGGUAUUGUUGAGAGGAAGAAUAGAACCUUGAUCGACAUGGCAAGAUCAAUGUUGAGUGAGUACAAUGUGAGUCAUUCCUUUUGGGCCGAAGCAAUCAACACGGCUUGCUACUAUAGCAACCGACUCUAUUGUCACCCAAUGAUGGAGAAGACUCCAUAUGAGCUCUUGAAUGGAAGAAAGCCCAACAUUGCAUACUUUCGGGUUUUUGGUUGCAAAUGCUACAUAUUGAAGAAAGGCACUAGAUUGAGUAAAUUUGAAAAGAAAUGUGAUGAAGGCUUCUUGCUUGGUUACUCCACUACUAGCAAAGCUUAUAGAGUGUGGAAUUUGGCUAGUGGUACUCUUGAAGAGGUGCAUGAUGUUGAGUUUGAUGAAACAAAUGGCUCUCAAGAGGAAGAUGAGAAUCUAGAUGAUGUGAGAGGCACUCAAUUGGCCGAUGCAAUGAAGAAUAUGGAUAUUGGUGAUUUAAGGCCUAGAGAGGUGAUUGAUGUUGAAGAUGACAAAGAUCAAGUGCUUCCUACCCCUAAUGUGCAAGCUAGUGGCUCUCAUGAUCAAAAUCAAGCUAGUACAAGUGGUACUCAAGUGCAAGAUCAACAAACUAGUACAUCAUCUCAUGAUCAACCAAGUGCAAGCAAUUAAGUGCAAAUACUCCAACCAAUAAAUAUUGCAAGAGAUCAUCCAUUGGAUCAUAUCAUAGGUGAUAUUCAAAGGGGAGUGCAAACUAGAUCAAGAUUAGCAUCAUUUUGUGAGCAUUUCUCCUUUGUGUCUCACAUUGAGCCAAAGAAGAUUGAUGAAGCAUUGAGAGAUGUUGAUUGGGUUAAUGCUAUGCAUGAAGAGCUUAACAAUUUCAAGAGAAAUCAAGUAUGGGAAUUAGUUGAGAGGCCUAGUGAUCAUAAUGUCAUUGGCACUAGAUGGGUCUUUCGCAACAAACAAGAUCAAGAUGGGAUAGUUGUAAGGAACAAAGCAAGAUUGGUAGCACAAGGCUAUACUCAAGUUGAAGGUCUUGACUUUGGUGAAACAUAUGCCCCGGUUGCAAGAUUGGAAGCAAUUAGGAUCUUGUUGGCCUAUGCUUGUGCGCAUAAUAUCAAGUUACACCAAAUGGAUGUAAAGAGUGCAUUUCUCAAUGGCUAUAUCAAUGAAGAAGUCUAUGUUGAGCAACCUCCCGGUUUUGAAGAUGACAAGAAACCCAACCAUGUUUACAAGCUAAGAAAGGCAUUGUAUGGUUUGAAGCAAGCACCUAGAGCAUGGUAUGAGAGAUUGAGAGAUUUCUUACUCUCUAAAGGUUUCAAGAUGGGCAAGGUUGACACCACUCUCUUCACCAAGAAGAUUGGCAAAGACUUGUUUGUGUUGCAAAUAUAUGUUGAUGAUAUCAUAUUUGGAUCAACGAACCAAGAAUUUUGUGAGGAGUUUGGCAACAUGAUGGCUAAUGAGUUUGAGAUGUCAAUGAUUGGAGAACUUAGUUACUUCCUUGGUCUUCAAAUCAAGCAAUUGAAGAAUGGCACAUUUGUGAGUCAAGGCAAGUACAUAAAAGACAUGCUCAAGAAGUUUGGUAUGGAUGAUGCAAAAACAAUUAGCACUCCAAUGGGAACAAAUGGAAGCCUAGAUAAUGAUACAAGUGGAAAUAUGGUGGAUCAAAAGUUGUAUCGAUCUAUGAUUGGAAGCCUACUCUAUGUGACCGCAUCAAGACCGGAUGUCAUGUUUAGUGUAUGCAUGUGUGCAAGAUUCCAAGCCUCACCAAGAGAAAGUCAUUUGAAAGCAACAAAGAGAAUAUUGAGGUACUUGAAGCAUACACAAAAUGUUGGUUUGUGGUAUCCCAAAGGUGCAAAGUUUGAACUUGUUGGAUAUUCCGAUUCGGACUAUGCGGGAUGCAAAGUUGAGAGAAGAAGCACAUCGGGCACAUGUCAACUAUUGGGAAGAUCACUUGUCUCAUGGUCAUCCAAGAAGCAAAAUAGUGUUGCACUAUCAACCGCCGAAGCGGAGUACAUUGCGGCCGGUAGUUGUUGUGCACAAAUCCUAUGGAUGAAGGCAACAUUGAAGGACUUUGGAAUCAAUUUCAAAGAAGUGCCAUUGUUAUGUGACAAUGAAAGUGCCGUGAAGCUCACCAACAAUCCGGUUCAACACUCAAGAACAAAGCACAUAGAUGUCCGCCAUCAUUUCAUUAGAGAUCACCAACAAAAAGGGGACAUUUGCAUUGAGAGUAUAGGCACCGAUGAUCAACUUGCCGAUAUAUUCACCAAGCCACUUGAUGAGAAGAGGUUUUGCAAGCUAAGGAAUGAAUUGAACAUACUUGACUUGAUCUCAAAUAUGUGUUGAUGCACCCCCACUUUAUGACAUGCCUCUCCUUCGAGCAAAGCAAGGUGAAAUUGUUUGACAUGUCAUCCAUCUUUGCUAAAGACUUGUUUAGUGCAUCUAGUCAUUCCUUACAUGUCUUAGGCUCAUUCAUGAAAAUCAAAUACAUUUGAUGCUUGUAUGGUACCACUAUUACUUCUAUGCUUGACUUGAUCUAGUGGUAGCAUAUGACAUGUUUUUGGGCUUGCAAUCCUAGUGUUUGAUCUAGAAUAUGAGCUAUAAGUGUUUAACUCAACAUGGUACAAGAUAACCCUUAUUUGGAGGUGUGAAAAAGCUUGUCCUUGGAUCAAACCGAGUUAAAUAUCUUAGGCAAGUAAUCUAGAUUGGACCAAUUUGGGGAAAUGAUCUCAUUUCACAUAGUUUCACACUAACCUAUCUAAAAUUUGAGCUCACCUUUUGUGGUCUUUGAUGACAAAGGGGGAGAGAAUUUCCCAAAGAUUUGCUUAAGGGGGAGAGAAAUUACAAAAGAAAUAGAUAGGGAAGUAACAUGUUAAAAGAAGGGGAUCAAUUAAAAUUUUGAAGCACACAAGUAGGGGGAGCAAGCUCAUAAACUUGUAUGUUGCAUUUGUAUGUGCAUCACAUAUGGUUGCUUGCAUUUGCAUUAGCUUUAGAAGCUUUCUCUCCAAUACCUUGCUUGUGUGGUGUAUGCUAGUUAUAGGCUUGAUUGAUGAAAUGAAGAACUAGCAUGCAUCGGUAGUAUAACUAGACUUUUAGUGGUUUCACAAGUUGUACUAGAACCUUGUUUAUAAUGUUGAUCUCACGGGGUGUUCUAGUUUUGUGAAAGUCUAGUCACUAAUGGUGCUAAGGAUGGUGUAUAUUGGCAACUCCGAUUGGUAUCACGCUUCAAAGGUCCAUUCUUUACACCUUAGCAUCAUUUGGUAGAAAUUGACUCCUAUAUUUCCUAUUCAAGCAUAUGUGCAAGCUUUCAAAUCCAAACUCUUAGCACAUAUGUAGGGGGAGCAAUUGCUACCAAUUUGGGUUUAUGAAACUUGUCCAUAAUAUUUGCACAUGGUAAAAUGCUUGGGCAAGCAACAUGAAUCCAAGAAAAUUUUUUAUUGAAAAUCUUUGUAAAAAGGGUUGUCAUCAAUUACCAAAAAGGGGGAGAUUGAAAGCCCUAGUUUGGUUUUGGAUAAUUGAUGAAACCCUAGUACUAACCUCUAUGCUAAGUGUGUGUAGACUUAAUGAGGUUGGUACAUGCCAAGUGAUGGAGUAAGUGAUGAUCAUGGUGAUGAUGGUGAUGACCACAAGGUGAUCAAGUGCUCAACUUGGAAAAGAAGAAAAAGAAAAACAAAACCCUAUGGAGAUCAAGGCAAAGGUAUUGCUUAGGGUUUUGGUUUUGGUGAUCAAGACACCAUAGAGGGUGUGAUCACAUUUAGGAUAGAUAGCCGUACUAUAAAGAGGGGAAUUCUUUGGCUAAGCUGUUAUCAAGUGCCACUAGGCGUCAUUGUUCUUGUGCAUGCAUUUAGAACCUAGUGAGCUAACUUAACUCCUUCGAAGAAAAUUUGUUUGUGAAAAUGCUAACACACGUGCACUUGUUGGUUUACGCGUUGUGGUGUUGGCACACUUUGAGAAGGAGGUGGAGUUUGAAGGGUAGAGAGAGGAUGGGUUCCUCUCUCCCUCCCGCCGAGCUUGCGAGGUGGGAUUCGGCGCUUUUCGAGAAAAUGAAGUGCAUAUUUUCUAUUACGCCGGUGGGAAUUUUGGAGAAGUCACGGGAGUGUUCCUCGCAGAGAAAUACUCACCGGACGCUGACCACUGAGGCACCGGACGCUAAGUCUGAGCGUCCGCUGCAGACAGUGCCUGGCCCAGCUAGGGUAAGGCACCGGACGCUGGCUUGAGCGUCCGGUGGUGCGCGUCCGGUGUGCGGGCGUUUUGGCGACCCUCUCUGCGCAUGAGUCCGGUGAGCACCGGACGCUCAGGGUGCGUCCGGUGGCUUGCGUCCGGUGACCCUGUGAGUUUGCGGAGCUCUCUGCGCAUGAGUCCGGUGUGCACCGGACGCGUCCGGUGCCAACCUGCUCAGCGUCCGGUGCUCUGCAAGUUACCGUUAGACUCUGACACACGGCUGACGUUGGAGCACCGGACGCAGGUGCUGAGCGUCCGGUGCCCCUUUAAGAGCGUUCGGUGACCCCGAGUUUUGCCCAGUGAAAGAGCCAACGGCUCUAUUUGCUUGAGGGGCUAUAAAUACGUGUUUGGCCGGCUUAGGGCUCACUCUCUUGGCAUUCUUGACUACUUGACAUCCUUGUGAGCCUAAGCAAACACCUCCCACUCAUCUCCUUCAUAGAUUAUACAUCUUUGUGAGAUUUUAAGUGUUUCCAAGUGCAUUUGCUUGAGUGAUUUCAUCUAGUGGCACUUGGGGAUCGUUCUAGCUGCGGUUUUCUUGUUACUCUUGGUGGUUGCCGCCACCUAGACGGCUUAGAGCAGCGGAGGAGCAUUGGCACGAGUUGGUGAUUGUUCGUGGUCAUCUCCCGGUGAUUGUGAGGGGUCUUGUACCUUCUCCGGCGGAGAGCCGAAAGGUAACUCUAGUGGAUUGCUCGUGUCAUUGAGUUACCUCACUUGUGGGUAGGUUCUUGUGGUGUCCUAGUGAGGACGAGGUUCGUGCUACACCUCUUAGCCACCGAACCACCAAGUGUUGGUCGACACAACGGGGACGUAGCGUGCCGGCAAGCACGUGAACCUCGGGAGAAAAAUUGUGUGUCUCCAUUGUGAUUGUUCAUUGGAUUUCUCCCGGUGAUUGGACUUCAUAUUAUUGAUUGGUUCAUCCCCUCUACGCGGCGGUAUAAAGUUCAAACCAUCUCUUUAUAUUUCCGCAAACUAGAGUAGCUUACUUACUUGUAUAGAAACUUUAGGUAGCUUUCUAGUGUAAGUAGUGACUUAGCUCUUGUGUGCCUAGUGAUUAUAUCAACUAGAAUUGUUGGAUAGGUGGCUUGCAAACACCCCAUUAGAGCU
rnacentral:lncRNA from 1 species